GUCACGGCGCCUGCCCGGUGGACGUAUCACACGCUCGAGAAAAACACGUCCCGGCAUCGACGGCCUGUAAGCCCCUCCCGCUGCGGGCCCACCGCAGUCAUGACAGCAGUGCUGCCUCGCUGUCCCCCACCGGGACAGCUCCCGCAUUACUACUUUGCAAUUUCAGAGAACUGAAGACAGAUUCUAGACGCUCGUGAAGGUUGACUUCGACCACAGCUGUCCAGCUGGUCCUGGUGCUGAGCUGGACUGAGGGGCUCACCGUGGGAACAGGAAGGAUCUGGAUUCUGAUAAACCAGUUAUGGGUAAGAAUGAAGUAAACUCCACAAAGGACCGUCAGGAAAGCUGAGAAAAUGGAGCCAGCUUGGCUAUCAGGGCAAAUGGAUGCCAAUGACGUAGGCACACCAUUAAAGCUUUAUACUAGCAAACACUGGAACAGUAAAUGGGAUGUGAGCACUUAAGAAAGGCAAGGAAAUGAAAAUUUGCCAGAAUUUUAGACAAAAGAAGAUACUUCAAGCUUAGGAGCAGUGGUAGAAGUCACAAAUUAAAGUCCUCAAGAGGUCUGACAUGACGCUGUGAGCUUCUAGUCGUCACGGAUACCGUCAUCAACACGAGAAACACGAGCCAGAGGCAGCAGCGUACGCCCCAGCCCGGCUCUCCCACGCCCCCCACGCGCCAGGGACCCGCGGCCCACUCACUGCGCGGGGCCUGCACGUGACCUUCCCUGCCCGAAGCCCGCUCCCCAGCCCCCGGGCACCGAUGGGGUGGGCGGGGGCAGCUGCUGGUCGGUUCCUCUUUCCUUUCCUUCUGCUGAGGACAGGCCCUGGGGGACCUUGCAGGGGGCCCUGCUCUGAGCCUGAAUCUCCCUCAGUCUCACUCUGCUCUGGAGAAUCCAGCCUCUCGGGAUCCCCAGGUGCAGCCAGGCCUCCUUUCUGGGACUCCAGCUUGUGUCUUUAACUGACUACUGGCUGCCUUAGAUGCUGCAGACUCCACACACUGCAACGGGACUCCCCGUCCGGCAGAGGCUCCUUGCCAGCUCUCCUUCGCUGCUUCCACUCGGCUCUGAGGGCCCUCUCGCUUAUCCAUCAGAUGGUACCUACAGUGUCCAGCAAAACACUCAGUAUGUGGAAUGAAGGGGAACAUGAGCAGACACCACCCCGCCUGGAGACUUCUUAUACCAGUCAAUCCGCUUCUGUAAGCAAGUGGCUCAAGGUACUCCCAACGGCUCGUG